CCUACGGGAGGCAGCAGUAGGGAAUCUUUCACAAUGGGCGAAAGCCUGAUGGAGCAACGCCGCGUGCAGGAUGAAGGCCUUCGGGUUGUAAACUGCUUUUAUAAGCGAGAAAUAUGAUGGUAACUUAUGAAUAAGGAUCGGCUAACUACGUGCCAGCAGCCGCGGUCAUACGUAGGAUCCGAGCAUUAUCCGGAGUGACUGGGUGUAAAGAGUUGCGUAGGUGGCAUAAUAAGUAGCUAGUGAAAUCUGGUGGCUCAACCAUUCAGACUAUUAGCUAAACUGUUAAGCUCGAGACCGUUAGGGGUAACUGGAAUUUCUAGUGUAGGAGUGAAAUGCGUAGAUAUUAGAAGGAACACCAAUAGCGUAGGCAGGUUACUGGGACGGUUCUGACACUAAGGCACGAAAGCGUAGGGAGCAAACGGGAUUAGAUACCCGUGUAGUC
rnacentral:rRNA from 1 species